UUGUUCUCCAGAGUGGACAAAAAGAAACCUGGAAUACCUGUACACUGCCUGUCAGUCCCAGUGCAUCGCAACCUGGACAGUUCUGUUCUAACAGAGACUCCUCGAUGUGAGGUGCCACCACCAGAUGUAACCUUGUGGCUGGCCUAUGGCCCAGCAGCCGCUGGGCUGCUCACUGUCACACCACACCUUUAGGACUCCAGAAGAACAGAUACGCUGCAGGGGAGAUUCCUCAUUCUUAAUCUUGCACUUCACUUAAGUUCUUGAUCUUUUCAUCUCCUUCCAAAGGGAAAAAAGAAAGGGAAAAAAAAAGAAACAAAACAAAACAAAACCCGCCAACAACUCCCCACUCUGAUUGGUGUAUUGCAGAAGGACUAAUGAGAUAUGAGUGUGGAACACACCAUUGUGCUGCAGCAGCUUCCACACACAAAGGUCAUAGAAUCAUAGAAUAUUCUCAGUUGGAAGGGACCCCCAGGACCAUCUUGCAGUGUUUCUCUGGCAGGACCAAUGAUGUACCAGCUGGCGGAGCUGAAGUGGGGCCAUGAAGAGUCCAGAGGAAGGCAGGACUAAAACAAUCAAGAAAUACAAAGCACCACUUCUUAUGGAUAUGCUAUGUGUAAUCAGACAUCUGUCAUUAGCAGCCGAUAUAUCUGAAAAAAGAGACGGAUAAACUUUUCAGUUCAGCAUGAAAUUUAUGGUCAGAAUGAAAGUGAGAGAAAGAGGAUGAAGAUGUUUUCAGUGUCAGCCUAAGGAUCAAGUGGGAUUUUAAUGUCUGAUUGUACUGGCAGCAAUCAAACCAAUUCCACAAAUCCCAGCCUAUCAUCAUAUCUUUUAGAUGAUGCAUCCUAAAAGAUGACAGUCAUCUACCA